GCCCAGAGCCUCCCGCUUGCCAGCACUCACCGGGCGCCGGGGACACAGCCCCGGGGACCCAUUACCGCCUCGGCGUGGUGCUGGCCUGGUGGAGACCUAGAGGGCCCACUUGAGGGGGUGACAUUCAAGUUGACGCCCAGGCCUGGACGUUGAUCCGACUUAGGACCUGGAGGAAAGCCAUCUGAGCAUAGCAAAGCAAGCAGAGCCAAUUAAACUGCUCUCCUGACCUCACAGUCUCAGAAUUAGGAUCCUUUGCUUCAAAGGAAGUAGAGAUGCCCAAACUCCUCCAGACUGCUCUGGAAGCCUGAUCUUGGCCCAGACCUCCUAAUUUACGCACCUUCUGUCCUCUAGCACCCUCUGCCUACUUUGGGGGUUGGGGGGACACAGCUCUAGCAGGAACAUCUCCUUCUUCUCUGUCCAAGGGGGUCACUUCUCUAAGCCACUCCAGGCCUGCACUCAUCUUCUGUGUCCUGUUGCUCACCUGACCACUUCUGCAUGCUAGACCCCUGGUCCAAGCUCAUUUAGUAUCUACCACCCUUAGUUUCUAUUUUGUCUUAGAAGUGUUCAUGAGCCUCUUGGGGGCAGAAGGGAUUGGGGAAGCAGGUUAUGUUUCUUCUGCCCUCUUCAGCAUCCACAAUGCCUCCUCCAUGAGGCCACUGCAUUAGUUGGGUCCGGGAAGUCUAGUUUAUUUUAACAAGUGUCCUGCUCCAGGGAGUACUCAAUUCCUGGGUCACCUAUUCCUGUACCUGCGUGUUACACCCCUCCCCAGGAUACUGUGUCCCAAGAAAGUGUCCGUCUCUGCAGUGGACAUAGUCUACCUCUGAGACCCCUCAGGACAAGGACAGAACCUGGGAAGCAAGGGGGAGCCUAGCUGGAGAGCCAUAGGCCUGAAUGCUGCCCAGAGCAGAGAAAGCAGAAAACGGGCCCUCUGGGAUUGCCUGGCCCUGGGACCUUGCCAGUGCCUGCUGGGACUCUGUGUGUCACCCCUGGCCUGAUUCACAGGCCACUUGCCUGGGCUUUGACCCUGCAGUAUAGACAGGCCUCUUGGGGCAGCCUUUGAUAGCAUCACAAGCCUUUCAUCAGGCCCGUGGAUAUCCAGACACCACUCUGUUAUCCCUACUCUGUUAGCAACUUGCCACUGAUCUUGGUAGAUCAGUUUACCCUGUCUGAGCCUUGACUUCCACACCUGAAAGUGGGGGUACAAAUCCCUUCUCCCUAAACAUUGCAUUACAUGGAGAUAAAGACAUGAGAACAAACCCCUGGCAAGCUUAGAAAGAGCACAGGCGGUUCCAGCCUCAAAAGAACUGUGGGUAGGGAUGGUCUGACCUUACAGCAGCAGUGGUGCUACUGUUGCUUCCAACAGGCCGCUGUUGCAACAACCUGCCCUCUGUCCUUCACCUUUGACCGAGUUAUACUCUGCUUUGUGCCGGGUGAGGCUGCUAUCACCGGCUGGUUGUUUUAACAAACACUGUCUGGCUUCUACUUAAGGCUGUCUGUGACAGUCACAGAAAUUGCUGUGGGUGGCCCCAAUCUCUCCCCCACUCUUACCUCUAUCAGGGAGAAAGGAGAUAUAUGAGAACAGGUGGCAUUUCAAAGUGCAUCAUAAAGAGGAAGUGCCAUCCAGGAGGGAGUUACUCACCAU